CCUGGCGGCCGUAGCGCGGUGGUCCCACCUGACCCCAUGCCGAACUCAGAAGUGAAACGCCGUA
rnacentral:rRNA from 4 species